GUAUUUAAUCAUUUAAAAAGUAGGCCAAAGAGACUUAUCUCAACCAUACUGCUAAAUAGUUAUGAGCUGCAUCAUACAUAAAUUAAGUGUGCUCUAACUGGGGGUAUGGAUAGACUCUUUCUUUAGUCAAUUAAGUGUUUACAGUAUUAGUAUCUACUUUAGUUAGUUAGAGUAAAGGAAUUAAAGAGACCAUUUUCUUCCUGCAUGAUGGGCACGUCACCUAGAAACAACAUAAACUGCAGGUUAAUCACCGAGGAACGGCUCAUGUCAAUUCCCCACUGCCCUGCUUCCUGUCUAAGAGGAAUAAGGAGACUAUCUCCCCUACUGUCAUAUACUAAGGCUAGCACAGUGCCUGGCAGACAGCGUGUGUUUGAUAAAUAUACACUGAUUAGUCUUCUUGUGAGACAAAAACACAGAGUACUUUAAGAAAACACCUAUAUAAAACAUGUUGACCCAAUGACUACUGAAUAAAUACUCUUUUCCCUGAGUGAAAUGCCUUUUUUUCCCUUAUCUUUAUGAUCAACAGUCCUUUCUGAAGACUCUAUUCUAUCUCUCUUAAACCAUCUGCUGACUAGAUGUCUAUGCCUGAGGCUGAGAGUCAAGUAUUGAAGAUGGCAGAGGCUCAGUUAGCUUAGGUCCCUGAAUGACGGAGUGAAGGUGAAAUGGCUGCCCUAUCACCCUCUGUUGAACAAGAAAUAAGUCUAUGUAUAGUUA
rnacentral:lncRNA from 10 species